AAAAGGAAGAGCUCGGCUGGCCUUAAAAUAUUUGCUCGAGUUCUUGUUCUACUGCAACACCUUCGCAGCUCAUAUGCCAUCACUCUAUGGAACGGCGGCAUGUGAAUUGUACUAGUACUGUACAAGACCAAGGGUUAGCCUGGAGCGUGAGAUGAUGGGGCAGCAACAAUAAUAAUCCGCCGGCGAUCCGGCGAUCCGGCGGCGGCUGUGGGCUGUGGCUUCCUUUGCAGGAACGCGAAUGGAACGAAAGAUUGCGUGCACGGUUCUCGGUGGUCCGCCUAUUUCGGCAUUGGGCACGUCCUUGGUUGCUACUAAUUAUUCAUUAUUCCGUCCAUUCGAAAAAAAGAAAUCGACGCCUGAAGCUUUUUUAGUGCAGCAGAAAGCCCAUCAUCUUUCGCUCGGACAUUUGUAUGGCGUCUAGGCAGCCUCUUCCCUAUGCGUGCAGUUUGUCGUACUAGUACCUGACAGCUGCGCAUGGACAAGCCCAAUUUGGAGUCGUAGUAUGUAGUAGAUACGAGCUCCAUGGCGACGCAGCAGUACACAGUACCGAUGACCCUUUAGUGUUGUUGAUGAGAAUAACAACGCUUCAACGUUCAAUUGGCGCUAUGCCAUCUUGAGUGAUUCAUAGUACUCAUAGCCCAUUAACCAUCAUGCUGUUCUCUGUUCGACUUCUUACUUGUGUUUACUUCGUUGACUGAUGUCAGAUAGAGGGCUUGGGCAGCGGCCGCUCUGUCCUGCUAAAAGAUAUGCAGUCCAGACAGGGUUAAAAACCUGUGACAUGAAUAGAGACUCUACGUAGUGAAAAGCAUUAUAGCAGAACGUAUAGCAUGGGUCGCAUUGCGCAUUGUGCAUCAAUCAACGCAGAAUCAACAACAUGCUUUCAUACUAUAUGUUGCAUCGACAGGACUCAAAAAAUUCCUGACUGCUGCAUGAUGAGUAUUAAGAUGUAUAGUCUGUGCCAAUUAUACAAUUCACCCCAUACAUAUAUUAUUAACCCCCCUGUAUCAGUUACCAGCUUCCAUGAUGC
rnacentral:sRNA from 1 species